GACGAACGCUGGCGGCGUGCUUAACACAUGCAAGUCGAACGGAGAGGCCCUGCUUUUGUGGGGUGCUCGAGUGGCGAACGGGUGAGUAACACGUGAGUAACCUGCCCUUGACUUUGGGAUAACUUCAGGAAACUGGGGCUAAUACCGGAUAGGAGCUCCUGCUGCAUGGUGGGGGUUGGAAAGUUUCGGCGGUUGGGGAUGGACUCGCGGCUUAUCAGCUUGUUGGUGGGGUAGUGGCUUACCAAGGCUUUGACGGGUAGCCGGCCUGAGAGGGUGACCGGCCACAUGGGGCCUGCGAUACGGCCCAGACGCCUACGGGAGGCAGCAGUGGGGAAUAUUGCACAAUGGGCGGAAGCCUGAUGCAGCAACGCCGCGUUCGGGAUGACGGCCUUCGGGUUGUAAACCGCUUUCGCCUGUGACGAAGCGUGAGUGACGGUAAUGGGUAAAGAAGCACCGGCUAACUACGUG
rnacentral:rRNA from 1 species